GAGCGGCGGACGGGUGAGUAACGCGUAGGCAACCUGCCCCAUACAGAGGGAUAGCCUCGGGAAACCGGGAUUAAAACCUCAUAACGCGAGGAGUUCACAUGGACUUCUCGCCAAAGAUUCAUCGGUAUGGGAUGGGCCUGCGUCUGAUUAGCUAGUUGGUGAGGUAACGGCUCACCAAGGCGACGAUCAGUAGCCGACCUGAGAGGGUAAUCGGCCACAUUGGAACUGAGACACGGUCCAAACUCCUACGGGAGGCAGCAGUGGGGAAUAUUGCACAAUGGGCGAAAGCCUGAUGCAGCAACGCCGCGUGAGCGAUGAAGGCCUUUGGGUCGUAAAGCUCUGUCCUUGGGGAAGAAACAAAUGACGGUACCCUUGGAGGAAGCCCCGGCUAACUACGUGCCAGCAGCCGCGGUAAUACGUAGGGGGCGAGCGUUAUCCGGAAUUAUUGGGCGUAAAGAGUGCGUAGGUGGCCAUGUAAGCGCGGGGUGAAAGGCAAUAGCUUAACUAUUGUAAGCCUUGCGAACUGUGUGGCUUGAGUGCAGGAGAGGAAAGUGGAAUUCCUAGUGUAGCGGUGAAAUGCGUAGAUAUUAGGAGGAACACCAGUGGCGAAGGCGACUUUCUGGACUGUAACUGACACUGAGGCACGAAAGCGUGGGGAGCAAACAGGAUUAGAUACCCUGGUAGUCCACGCCGUAAACGAUGAGCACUAGGUGUCGGGGUCGCAAGACUUCGGUGCCGCAGUUAACGCAUUAA
rnacentral:rRNA from 1 species